CUGUGCGUGUGACAGCGGCUGUAUU
rnacentral:ncRNA from 3 species